GCCUUUGUGGUGUAGUGGUCAGCAUACUGGAUGUGUAACCGAGAGGUCCGUGGUUCGAUUCCCGGCGAAGGUG
rnacentral:tRNA from 1 species